AUUGAACGCUGGCGGCAGGCUUAACACAUGCAAGUCGAGCGAGCGGCGGACGGGUGCGUAAUGUCUGGGACACUGCCUGAUGUAGGGGGCUAACUACUGGAACCGGUAGCUAAUACCGCAUACCAUCCGAUGUUCCCAGAUGGUAUUAGCUAGUAGGUGAGGUAAUGGCUCACCUAGGCGACGCUCCCUCGCUGGUCUGAGAGGAUGACCAGCCACACGGGAACUGAGACACGGUCCAGACUCCUACGGGAGGCAGCAGUGGGGAAUAUUGCACAAGGGGCGCAAGCCUGAUGCAGCCAUGCCGCGUGUGUGAAGAAGGCCUUCGGGUUGUAAAGCACUUUCAGCGAGGAGGCGUUACUCGCAGAAGAAGCACCGGCUAACUCCGUGCCAGCAGCCGCGGUAAUUC
rnacentral:rRNA from 1 species